rfam:Lingula anatina scaffold255, whole genome shotgun sequence.
GUAGGUUAUGGUGAUAUGAGGCCUAUAGGUGUGUGGGGAAAGCUGGUUGGUUCUCUGUGUGCUAUUACUGGUGUGCUAACAAUUGCACUCCCAGUCCCUGUUAUUGUUUCCAAC